rnacentral:rRNA from 1 species
AUGGCGACGGACGGGGAGUGCUCCACGCCGGGGAAGGGGGCGACGGUCCGGAGCCACAGCGAGGCGGAGCGCAAGCGGAGGCAGCGCAUCAACGCCCAUCUCGCCACGCUCCGCACGCUCGUCCCCUCGGCCUCCCGGAUGGACAAGGCGGCGUUGCUGGGCGAGGUGGUGCGGCACGUGCGGGAGCUGCAGGGCAGGGCCAACGACGCGACGGAGGGCGUGGUGGACGUCGUUCCCGGGGAGACAGACGAGGUGGGCGUCGAGGAGGGCGACUACAUCAAUGGCGGAUCAACGGACGACGACCCCCGGUGGCGGCGUCGCGUCCGGGCGUGGGUGUGCUGCGCCGACCGCCCGGGGCUCAUGUCGGACCUGGGCCGCGCCGUCCGCUCCGUCGGCAGCGCGCGCCCCGUGCGCGCCGAGAUCGCCACCGUCGGCGGGAGGACCCGGAGCGUCCUGGAGCUGGACCACGUCUACCUCCAAGCCGAACCAGCCAACGACAGGGCGGUGGCGCUCUCCACCCUGCGCGCCGCGCUCCGCACCGUGCUGCUCAACCGGGAGGAGCUCCUCGCCGCCGCGGCCGCCGUGGACGGGUACAAGCGGCCGCGCCUCUCGCCGGUGCACCAGCUCAGCUAG